ensembl:misc_RNA 7SK 7SK RNA
AAAUGCUGACAGUUGUCACCCCAUUGAUUUCCAAGAUUGAUUUGGCUGAUAUGGCUGGCUAGACAGAUGUCCCGCUCCAAGUUUGUUCCUCUCAAAGCUGUAGACUUGGUCAAAACCAAUAACUUUCACUAGUAAUAAUGUUCUGUAGUCAAGGAUCUGAGAGAAUGCAAGGAAGACUCUUCUGGGUAAGAGUCAAUAGGAAUGUAUCUGCUUUUUAAGGGAAUAGAAGAAAAGUUUACUAUCUUCAAAGUAAGGUAGUUCCUUUCACUCUUCUUG